CAUCCCUCCUACAGACUGUCCUUCUGUAAGAAACAGUGAGAACAGGGCAGUACACAAAACUGUGCCCAUAGGACUGACUACCUGGGCUUUCACAUUCUCAAAUCCUUUCUCCAGAGCAAACGCCAGUAUUCCUUGUUGAAAGAACAUAAGAAAGCUUGCCUUUUCUUUUGAAUCCCAGCAGUAAACUUGGUGGCAGCAGCACCUGUGGACCAUGUAAUGCCUCCUGGUGAAAACUCUUGCACAAUACAUGAACUGUCAUCUUUUUAGUCUUAGAGUGAUAUCUUGAGGAAGAUACUCGACCCAGCAAAAUGGAGGCUUUUAGGGAGAGGGGCAUCUUUCAUUCUCGCGCACGCUUGCUGAACCACUGCGCAUCAGAAGACUGAAGUGGAGAGUGACCCAGUCCCGAACGGAUCAUGGCUCAGAGUAAAUGGAGACAUCCAGGCCCAGAAGAAUUAACAGGAUUUUUGCUGGGUUUUCUGUCCCGGGGACUGAUCAGUGCUCAGAUGCAGCUAGCAGAGCUGUAGCUGCACCAGAACCCACUAAUGGGAGUGCUGGCUCACUCACCACGAGUAGCCCUCAUCAUCUCCAUUGUGUCUUCCCUGCAAGGAGAGAAGAGCUUCAAAAAUUUGUACCUAGUUGCAAAGCGGCAAGGAACCUAUCUGAACUGCUAGUGCAGUUUGGCAGUAGAAGGCAGCUGUUGUUUCUACAAUUGGAUUUCUAGCUUGUCACUCUUUUUUCAGGGGAAUACAAGUGAACAAGCCCUCAAACCUUAAGCCGUCUUUUGUACUUAUGUUAUAACACAGGGGACAGAAUAAUUUGUAUGUUUGAGUAGAUCAUAAUUUCAGUGGAAGUAUUGCUACCAUGGCUAUCUGAGCAUUUGUUUCCUUCUCAGAUUUGGAUUAACAUUAAUUGAAUGUAAUAUCUCACUGUAAUCAGGUAUUUGCUUCUUUGUAAUUGUUUCCUGUCUUUAUUUUUUUCUUUGUUGACUGCUAGAUCUUGUUAAAAUAUUCUGUUGACUCAAUUACAUCAUACAAUUCAUUCUACCUGGGGCAUUAAUAAAAGAAUAAUAUAAGAAAAGUGAAAAAAGUAA
rnacentral:lncRNA from 1 species